rnacentral:rRNA from 1 species
GUCUACAGCCAUGCCACUCUGAACAAGCCCGAUUCUGUCUGAUUUUGGAAGCUAAGCAGGGUCGGGCCUGGUUAGUACUUGGAUGGGAGACCACCUAGGAAGACCAGGUUCUGUAAGCA